UACGGAGGGUGCGAGCGUUGUCCGGAAUCACUGGGCGUAAAGGGCGCGUAGGCGGCCUGAUAAGUAGGGGGUGAAAUCCUGCGGCUUAACCGCAGGGCUGCCUUCUAAACUGUCAGGCUAGAGCACGGUAGAGGCAGAUGGAAUUCCCGGUGUAGCGGUGGAAUGCGUAGAGAUCGGGAGGAACACCUGUGGCGAAGGCGGCCGACUGGGCCGACCCUGACGCUGAGGCGCGAAGGCGUGGGGAGCGAACGGG
rnacentral:rRNA from 1 species